rnacentral:rRNA from 1 species
AAUGAACGUUGGCGGCGUGGAUUAGGCAUGCAAGUCGUACGAGAAUCGUAGCAAUACGAGGAAAGUGGCGGAAGGGAGAGGAUUACGUGGGAAUCUACCCUCAGAACUGGGAUAGCGGCGGGAAACUGCCGGUAAUACCAGAUAAUGUCUGUGGACCAAAGGUGUGAUUCCGUCUGGGGAUGAGCCCACGUCCUAUUAGCUAGUUGGCAGGGUAAUGGCCUACCAAGGCAAUGAUGGGUAGCGGGUGUGAGAGCAUGACCCGCCUCACUGGGACUGAGAACUGCCCAGACACCUACGGGUGGCUGCAGUCGAGAAUCUUCGGCAAUGAGCGCAAGCUUGACCGAGCGACGCCGCGUGCGGGAUGAAGGCCUUCGGGUUGUAAACCGUUGUCGUAGGGGAGCAAGAGAUGAGGGUACUCCCUCUGAUUUGAGCGAUCCUAGGAGGAAGGACGGGCUAAGUUCGUGCCAGCCGCCGCAGUAAGAC